AGUGAACGCUGGCGGUAUGCCUAACACAUGCAAGUCGAACGGCAGCACAGUAAGAGCUUGCUCUUACGGGUGUCGAGUGGCGGACGGGUGAGGAAUACAUCGGAAUCUACUUUUUCGUGGGGGAUAACGUAGGGAAACUUACGCUAAUACCGCAUACGACCUCCGGGUGAAAGCAGGGGAUCUUCGGACCUUGCGCGAUUGAAUGAGCCGAUGUCGGAUUAGCUAGUUGGCGGGGUAAAGGCCCACCACGGCGACGAUCCGUAGCUGGUCUGAGAGGAUGAACCGCCAGACUGGAACUGAGAAAGGGUCCAGACUCCUACGGGAGGCCGCAGUGGGGAAUAUUGGACAAUGGGCGCAAGCCUGAUCCAGCCAUACCGCGUGGGUGAAGAAGGACUUAGGGUUGUAAAGCCCUUUUGGUGGGAAAGAAAAGCAGCAGGUUAAUACCCCGCUGUUCUGACGGUACCGAAAGAAUAAGCACCGGCUAACUUCGUG
rnacentral:rRNA from 1 species